AUCGAGGGAGGGACGUUUCCCGACGGGGAGAGAGAGAGAGAGAGAGAGAGAGAGAGAGAGAGAGAGAGAGAGAGAGAGAGAGAGAGAGAGAGAGAGAGAGAGAGAGAGAGAAUGUGGUUUUUCAGCACAGGAGGCCUUCUGGAUCCUCACUCCAUUGUAACAGGCUGAACGUAAUACGUUGAAUUCUGGAGAAUAUGCAAUUGGAUGGAGCAGCAAAGACCAAGCAAGUGUGAUACUUCUGUAUUAUGACCCUGAGUUAAUGAAGGCAGGUUCAAGCCUUCAAGAAGACCAGGAGACUUGGCUAAGCUGAAGCUCUGCGCUUUCAAGUCUACAAGAUGAUGAUAUAGCAUAAAUCCUUAGAAUCUGUAUUUAUUGGCACGUAUGUGAGAUGUGGUCAGAGUAGCAAAACCUACGUUAUUUCGGUCUUUUUCCUAAAGCAGUGUGCAAAUGUUAUAAACAGUUCUCAUUUAUUGGCACGUAUGUGAGAUGUGGUCAGAGUAGCAAAACCUACGUUAUUUCGGUCUUUUUCCUAAAGCAGUGUGCAAAUGUUAUAAACAGUUCUGAUUUCUGAUCCUUUUUGUCAAAAGGCUAAAGCCAACGACAUGGCCUUCCUUAUUUGGGGGAUGCAAGUUCCAUAAGUUUUGACGCAA